rnacentral:lncRNA from 1 species
CACUUUACAAUAACCAGAGAACAUUGUGAACCAAAAGACAACACCCCUCAACGACAUCCUUUUAGACAAUUCAAACGCCACAAACAAGCCUACUGAAAGUUAGCACCAAUUUCAAUCCUUCAAGUUCAUAAGAAAAAGAGACAAAGCUAUAAGUACAAAUGGCCGAACACUCUUUUUAAGAAUUAAUACCAGUUUUAAACAUGGCCACCAACAAAUGAAUAUAAUAGUUCUAUCUCAAUUUUUGCAUCAAACGAGUUGGUGAAUUAGCUUAAACGAUCAAAAUAAUUUUAAUUAAGAGUAGAGAUUCCUCCUCAACAUAUCUCAAGCAACAAGAAUUCACACAAAUCUUCACAUUGACCCAUAAUUAUAAGAAAUACACGAAAUGAAACAAAGGACGAAGAAUAGGAACCUUCGAACCUCGACGAAUUCAGAAUGACAAACACGACCUCGAAAUACUUUUUUGUUUUUCUCGACUCCGAAUCGCAAUCGAAACUCGCCGGAAAAUUCAAACUAAACCAGAAAACGGACCCAGCGAACUCCAUGGCAGUAGCUCAUGAUUUUGGAGUUGUUUCGGGCUGUUUCGCGUUGCUUUGAUGGCGAAAAUGGUGAGCUUACACAACUGGUUUUGAAGCUAUUUUAAUGGUUGGUUUCGCUUUUAAGGGUGAGGGAUUUGAAAGGUGGAGAAGAUGAAGGGGGUCUGUUCUCGGGUCUUCAAUGGCGUUACUUCAGUCUGAAGAGGACGCAAGACAGGGAGGUUGGGGUUGUGUAGUUGGUUUGUGCUGCUGAAGAAGAUGACUAACGGGG